AGAUAAUAGUAUAUAACGAACUGACGUCGGCUGUAACCAGAACAUAAUCACUUUGUUCUGAUUAUGUUCUGGUUACAGCCGACGUCAGUUCGUUAUAUACUA